AGUGUCGAAAGCCACAACGAAGGUCACAGCAAGUAAACUUCUGAAGGAACUUGUAUUUAGAUAUGGAGUACCUGAAGUGAUUAAAAGUGACAGAGGUAGCCAUUUCACUGGGGAAAUAAUGCAAGAAAUUAUGAAAGCCUUAGGGAUCAGUCAGGCCUUCCACACCCCCUAUCACCCCCAGAGUAGUGGGAAAGUAGAAAGGGCAAAUGGCACCUUAAAGAACAAGAUUGCAAAAGCCAUGCAAGACACAGGGAAGCCCUGGACUGAAUGCCUUCCCCUAGCACUCUUUUCUAUGAGAUUCACCCCCAAUUCCAGACAUGGCCUAUCCCCUUUUGAGAUCUUGUUUGGAUGUGCCCCAAAGACAGGCCUCUAUUUCCCCCAAACCCUCCAGAUGCAGCAUGGUAGUAUGACUAUAUGCCUAUGUUCAGGCCGUACACCAAAGAUUAGGCAGGGUGCAUAAACAAGUCUUUGAUUCUAUUCCAGAUCCAGACUCUGAUUCUGCAACUCACAAACUGCAGCCUGGUGAUUGGGUGGUGAUAAAGAGGCAUGUGAGGAAAGGACUUGAACCACGCUUUGAUGGUCCAUUCCAAGUGCUAUUGACUACGGCUACCUCGGGGAAACUAGAAGGAAAAGCCACGUGGAUACAUGUCAGUCACUGUAAACAAGUCACUCCGAC